GAUGAAGAACGUAGCGAAAUGCGAUAAGUAGUGUGAAUUGCAGAAUUCAGUGAAUCAUCGAAUCUUUGAACGCACAUUGCGCCCUUUGGUAUUCCAAAGGGCAUGCCUGUUCGAGCGUCAUUUGUACCCUCAAGCUUUGCUUGGUGUUGGGCGUCUUGUCUCUAGCUUUGCUGGAGACUCGCCUUAAAGUAAUUGGCAGCCGGCCUACUGGUUUCGGAGCGCAGCACAAGUCGCACUCUCUAUCAGCAAAGGUCUAGCAUCCAUUUAGCCUUUUUUUCAACUUUUGACCUCGGAUCAGGUAGGGAUACCCGCUGAACUUAAGCAUAUCAAUAAGCGGAGGA
rnacentral:misc_RNA from 1 species